GCAAUAUCCGCCAGCCUCCAAUUCAAGUUUAGUCUCUAACAGUGAAGCGGACUAUGAGCAUGCUAAGAGAUCUAAAGAGAGUGGGAAAGCAAAGGCACCCUUGGGUACGCUCAGCAAAUCUGAAUGGGAUGCAACAAGUAUAUAUUUAUUAUUUGCAUUUGAAAAACAGGCUUGAAUGAAACUGCUGGUGAAAAUUUUGUCAACUUGUUGUCAUUUUAGUUUCUUCCAGUGUUGUGUGUAUUGGUAUAUAUAUUUUGUAACAGUUUUUGUGCAUGGAAUUAAUAUGUGCUGAAAAUAUUUACUUUAAAUUUAUGUGCCAGUUGCAAGUGCCCGUCUGUGACAGGCUUUUUUUUGUUUGUGUAAAUAAGACCAGAAGCUAUUUUUUGUAUAAAUAUUUUAAUCUUUGUAUGCAUAGUGUUGGGAGAAUAUUUCAAGACAUAUGAUUAAAAAUAUUUUUUACAUUAUAAUUAUUUGUGUUAAAAG